UGGGGAAUUUUGGACAAUGGGCGAAAGCCUGAUCCAGCAAUGCCGCGUGUGUGAAGAAGGCCUUCGAGUUGUAAAGCACUUUUGUCCGGAAAGAAAUCCUUGGCUCUAAUACAGUCGGGGGAUGACGGUACCGGAAGAAUAAGCACCGGCUAACUACGUGCCAGCAGCCGCGGUAAUACGUAGGGUGCAAGCGUUAAUCGGAAUUACUGGGCGUAAAGCGUGCGCAGGCGGUUUGCUAAGACCGAUGUGAAAUCCCCGGGCUCAACCUGGGAACUGCAUUGGUGACUGGCAGGCUAGAGUAUGGCAGAGGGGGGUAGAAUUCCACGUGUAGCAGUGAAAUGCGUAGAGAUGUGGAGGAAUACCGAUGGCGAAGGCAGCCCCCUGGGCCAAUACUGACGCUCAUGCACGAAAGCGUGGGGAGCAAACAGGAUUAGAUACCCCUGGUAGUCCACGCCCUAAACGAUGUCAACUAGUUGUUGGGGAUUCAUUUCCUUAGUAACGUAGCUAACGCGUGAAGUUGACCGCCUGGGGAGUACGGUCGCAAAUU
rnacentral:rRNA from 1 species